rnacentral:rRNA from 1 species
AUUGAACGCUGGCGGCAUGCCUUACACAUGCAAGUCGAACGGUAACAGGUCUUCGGAUGCUGACGAGUGGCGAACGGGUGAGUAAUACAUCGGAACGUGCCUAGUAGUGGGGGAUAACUACUCGAAAGAGUGGCUAAUACCGCAUGAGAUCUACGGGUGAAAGCAGGGGAUCGCAAGACCUUGUGCUACUAGAGCGGCCGAUGGCAGAUUAGGUAGUUGGUGGGAUAAAAGCUUACCAAGCCGACGAUCUGUAGCUGGUCGGAGAGGACGAUCAGCCAAACGGGGACUGAGACACGGCCCAGACGCCUACGGGAGGCAGCAGUGGGGAAUUUUGGACAAUGGGCGAAAGCCUGAUCCAGCAAUGCCGCGUGAAGGAUGAAGGCCUUCGGGUUGUAAACUGCUUUUGUACGGAACGAAAAGCCCCGGGUUAAUACCCUGGGGUCAUGACGGUACCGUAAGAAUAAGCACCGGCUAACCACGUGCCAGCCGCCGCCGUAA